rnacentral:tRNA from 1 species
GGGUGGUUAGCUCAGUUGGUAUGAGCGUUGCCUUCACACGGCAAAGGUCACAGGUUCGAGCCCUGUACCACCCACCA